GAUGAACGCUGGCGGCGUGCCUAAUACAUGCAAGUCGAGCGAAUGGAUUGAGAGCUUGCUCUUAUGAAGUUAGCGGCGGACGGGUGAGUAACACGUGGGUAACCUGCCCAUAAGACUGGGAUAACUCCGGGAAACCGGGGCUAAUACCGGAUAACAUUUUGAACCGCAUGGUUCGAAAUUAAAAGGCGGCUUCGGCUGUCACUUAUGGAUGGACCCGCGUCGCAUUAGCUAGUUGGUGAGGUAACGGCUCACCAAGGCAACGAUGCGUAGCCGACCUGAGAGGGUGAUCGGCCACACUGGGACUGAGACACGGCCCAGACUCCGACGGGAGGCAGCAGUAGGGAAUCUUCCGCAAUGGACGAAAGUCUGACGGAGCAACGCCGCGUGAGUGAUGAAGGCUUUCGGGUCGUAAAACUCUGUUGUUAGGGAAGAACAAGUGCUAGUUGAAUAAGCUGGCACCUUGACGGUACCUAACCAGAAAGCCACGGCUAACUACGUGCCAGCCGCCGCAGUAA
rnacentral:rRNA from 1 species